rnacentral:rRNA from 1 species
ACGGAAGGCAGCAGUAGGGAAUAUUGGUCAAUGGGGGAAACCCUGAACCAGCGACGCCGCGUGAGUGAAGAAGUAUUUCGGUAUGUAAAGCUCUAUCAGCAGGGACGAUAAUGACGGUACCUGACUAAGAAGCCCCGGCUAACUACGUGCCAGCAGCCGCGGUAAUACGUAGGGGGCAAGCGUUAUCCGGAUUUACUGGGUGUAAAGGGAGCGUAGGUGGCCAUGCAAGUCAGAUGUGAAAUCCCGGGGCUCAACCCCGGAGCUGCAUUUGAAACUGCGUAGCUAGAGUGCAGGAGAGGUAAGCGGAAUUCCUAGUGUAGCGGUGAAAUGCGUAGAUAUUAGGAGGAACACCAGUGGCGAAGGCGGCUUUCUGGACUGUAACUGACACUGAGGCUCGAAAGCGUGGGGAGCGAACAGGAUUAGAUACCCUGGUA